rnacentral:rRNA from 1 species
CCUACGGGCGGCAGCAGUGGGGGAUAUUGCACAAUGGGGGGAACCCUGAUGCAGCGACGCCGCGUGGGUGAAGGAGUGCUUCGGCAUGUAAAGCCCUAUCGGCAGGGAAGAAGCAAGACGGUACCUGACUAAGAAGCCCCGGCUAACUACGUGCCAGCAGCCGCGGUAAGACGUAGGGGGCGAGCGUUAUCCGGAUUCACUGGGUGUAAAGGGAGCGUAGACGGCCAUGCAAGCCAGGGGUGAAAGCCCGGGGCCCAACCCCGGGACUGCCCUUGGAACUGCAUGGCGGGAGUGCGGGAGGGGCAGGCGGAAUUCCUGGUGUAGCGGUGAAAUGCGUAGAUAUCAGGAGGAACACCGGCGGCGAAGGCGGCCUGCUGGACCGCGACUGACGUUGAGGCUCGAAAGCGUGGGGAGCGAACAGGAUUAGAUACCCUGGUAGUC